UAUUGCCUCRGUAACGGCGAGUGAAGCGGCAAUAGCUCAAAUUUGAAAUCUGGCCUCUCGGGGUCCGAGUUGUAAUUUGUAGAGGAUGUUUUGGGUACCGCCCCGGUUUAAAUUUCUUGGAACAGAAUGUCAGAGAGGGUGAGAAUCCCGUCUUGGACCGGGGUAGGGCCUGUGUAAAACUCCUUCGACGAGUCGAGUUGUUUGGGAAUGCAGCUCAAAAUGGGUGGUAAAUUUCAUCUAAAGCUAAAUAUUGGCCAGAGACCGAUAGCGCACAAGUAGAGUGAUCGAAAGAUGAAAAGCACUUUGAAAAGAGAGUUAAACAGUAUGUGAAAUUGUUGAAAGGGAAGCGCUUGCAACCAGACUUGAGCGCGGCGGUUCCCCCAGCCUUUUGGCUGGGCUACUCCGUCGUGUCCAGGCCAACAUCGGUUCUGAGGGUCGGUUAAAGGCCUUGGGAAUGUAUCUACCCACGGGUAGACUUAUAGACCAGGGUGUCAUGCGGCCUCUCGGGACCGAGGAACGCGCUUCGGCUCGGAUGUUGGCGUAAUGGUUGUCAGCGACCCGUCUUGAAACACGGACCAAGGAGUCUAACAUCUAUGCGAGUGUUUGGGUGUCAAACCCGGAACGCGGAAUGAAAGUGAACGGAGGUAGGAAGCUUCGGCUGCACUAUCGACCGAUCCUGAAGUUUACGGAAGGAUUUGAGUAAGAGCAUAGCUGUUGGGACCCGAAAGAUGGUGAACUAUGCCUGAAUAGGGUGAAGCCAGAGGAAACUCUGGUGGAGGCUCGCAGCGGUUCUGACGUGCAAAUCGAUCGUCAAAUUUGGGUAUAGGGGCGAAAGACUAAUCGAACCAUCUGGUAGCUGGUUCCUGCCGAAGUU
rnacentral:rRNA from 1 species